CGUUAUCCACCCCACCCGUGCACCUGACUAAUGGGUGAAUGAACAGAUGGGCAAAUACUUCCUCGAGUCUAGAUAUUUACAUAAAAAUCAAAAGAGUUUUUCUACUGUAUGUUUUAUGGUGAUAUAAAGCAGGCCAGUGAGCUUCUAUCAUCAGAACCCAUGAGAUUUUUUUUUAAGCGUAAGUGGUGUCUAUGGCAAUUUUUACUUGUUCAGUAAUUCUUCAGUUCAUAAAUUUUAUGAAGGACUGAAGAACUAAAAGAAUGUCUGGCAUAGCUGUGGAGUAGUUCUGGAAAACUGAUGACACCACUUAUAUUGUUCCCAUUUACCAGGCCUUCAUUACCCAUUACCAGUUUAAAGACCAUUAUGUGCUCAUCCAGGUGCUGAUCGUCUGUGCACAAGUCUUUGCAUCCAGAAAAUCCACCAGUUUUGUAGCACUCUGAAAAAACUCCUUGUUGCCAUGGAGAUAUGCUUCCUUAACAAUGAAUCCUUCUUGAAGGUAGAGGGCACUGGCAAGAUUAAAUGUAAAUUCCUGUUUCUUCCUCGAGAUGGCUGAGAAAAGUGACUUCAGCACAGAAAAUUCCUCUCCUUCAAAACAAUUAUAACAUAUACUGACAUACUGAACAACAUGAAAACAGUAGCUUUUUAACUAUGUCACCUGCUCUGAUUCACACCACCAGUUUUCCAUGCCGGGACCUAACUAUGGAAAGUCAGUAUAAAGAUAAGGAACAUUUACCUCCUGUACA